GACGAACGCUGGCGGCGUGCUUAACACAUGCCAGUCGAACGGAAAGGCCCUGCUUUUGUGGGGUGCUCGAGUGGCGAACGGGUGAGUAACACGUGAGUAACCUGCCCUUGACUUUGGGAUAACUUCAGGAAACUGGGGCUAAUACCGGAUAGGAGCUCCUGCUGCAUGGUGGGGGUUGGAAAGUUUCGGCGGUUGGGGAUGGACUCGCGGCUUAUCAGCUUGUUGGUGGGGUAGUGGCUUACCAAGGCUUUGACGGGUAGCCGGCCUGAGAGGGUGACCGGCCACAUUGGGACUGAGAUACGGCCCAGACUCCUACGGGAGGCAACAGUGGGGAAUAUUGCACAAUGGGCGGAAGCCUGAUGCAGCAACGCCGCGUGCGGGAUGACGGCCUUCGGGUUGUAAACCGCUUUCGCCUGUGACGAAGCGUGAGUGACGGUAAUGGGUAAAGAAGCACCGGCUAACUACGUG
rnacentral:rRNA from 1 species